GCCUGGGUGGCUCAGUGGUUGAGCAUCUGCCUUUGGCUCAGGGCAUGAUCCUGUCUGGGAUCAAAUCCUGGAUCAGGUU
rnacentral:tRNA from 1 species